rnacentral:rRNA from 1 species
AACGAACGCUGGCGGCAGGCUUAACACAUGCAAGUCGAGCGCAUCCUUCGGGGUUGUCGGCGGCCGGGUGAGUAACGCGGGGGAACGUGCCCCCUUCUACGGAAUAGCCUCGGGAAACUGAGAGUAAUGCCGUAUAAGACCUGCAAGGGAAGGAUUUAUCGUCGGAGGAUCGGCCCGCGUUGGAUUAGGUAGUUGGUGGGGUAACGGCUUACCAAGCCGACGAUCCAUAGCUGGUUUGAGAGGAUGAUCAGCCACACCGGGACUGAGACACGGCCCAGACUCCUACGGGAGGCAGCAGUGGGGAAUCUUGGACAAUGGGGGCAACCCUGAUCCAGCCAUGCCGCGUGAGCGAUGAAGGCCUUAGGGUUGUAAAGAUCUUUCAGCUGGGAAGAUAAUGACGGUACCAGCAGAAGAAGCCCCGGCUAACUUCGUG